rfam:Myotis lucifugus cont2.1542, whole genome shotgun sequence.
GGCAGUUCUUGGGUGACACACCCUGGAAUUGGGCUCCCUCCUCUCUGGUUCUGGGUGUGUCACCUGAGAACCUGCC